ACAGCAGAGGGCAGCUUGAAUACAUAUAUACAAACUAGAAGGGUGCAUCUCUCAGUCAUCAAAGGCAUGCACUCGUUUACAUCCCUGGGUUCCCAGCACACCACUCAGCUCUUGUCUGACAGCCGGCUGGACCGCAGAGAGCUGGGGACUGUGAUCAGCAUCAACCCUAUCACAAUACCACACAGGGGACAUAGUGGAGGAAGUGGGGAAUAAACGAAUUGUGGAGUGACAGGUUUCAAAGAGAGUUACAGCACCUUGCUGCUGCAGAACAAACCUCAAAGACAACACUCUAUGCUGUUUUUAUUGUUAAACCUGUGUUCUGCCAUUGUCUGCCCUCCCUCCUGAGCUCCAGCUCUCUCUCUCUGCCUCUCUGCGUCUCUCUCUCUGCCCCCCCCCCUCUCUGUGGCUCAAGAUGAAUCUGCCAGCAUGUGCCCAUGCUCUUCAUCACUGUCAGGUGCCCCAUGGUGGUCCUCCUCCUCUUUCUCAAACUGGGCACCAACCGCUGGCUGGAAUUAUUCCUCACCUCCAAAACUCUCCCCACUGUUUCUAAAUAAAUGUGGCUGUAGUAACCGAGGAGUGUUGCUCAUCCAUCUUUACCGUGUGGUGUGCGGAGUGUGCAGUGUUUACUGAACUAGACAGAGAGUCUAAUAAGCCACACAGUCAGUGUAAAGACACAAAGUGUAUAAUGUAACGUAAUGUAUUAGAUUUCUGGCAUUGGUUUAGUGUUUGUUCUUCCCCUCAAUUUAAGGAAAGGAUGUUUGUCUCUCUGUCAGUGAGAGUUGUCAUUCAUAAUUGAUUAGCAUUAAUAUCACAUAGAUUCAUCCGCAUUCGCUGUCACUUUUGUAAAUUUACAUCAGUUCUUCUUCGUUGUAAUAGCUCAUUAGCAGAUGUUUGGCCAGUAACAUUAGACUUGUUAAAAGGGCCUGUUGAUAGAUAAGAGACUGUUUUUGUUUCACUUGACACAAGAAUAACUGCUGAUGUUAAAUUUGUAAUUAAGGCACAAAAGAUAGCUGCACCAUCUGUUGACAGGGUGGUGCCUGUAGUGUUUGUGAAUGUCAGAAUGUGUCUGCUAUUUGGGAUGUUGGUUGUUAGAGUUUACAAUGAAAGCGUGCUAAAGAUACACUGUAUGCCCUACCUUAAAUGUUUAAGUACACCUAUACAUGCUGCUACUACUGAA